rnacentral:SRP_RNA from 1 species
GCCAGGCGUGGUGGCUCACGCCUGUAAUCCCAGCACUUUGGGAGGCCGAGGCGGGCGGAUCACCUGAGGUCAGGAGUUCAAGACCAGCCUGGCCAACAUGGUGAAACUCCGUCUCUA